rnacentral:lncRNA from 1 species
AAACCAACUCUGCUAUCAGUCACAAGACCACGUCCGAAAGGAACUGCUCUGUCUCACAUCACAGGACUCCCACUAUUUACUCAUACUAAGCAAGCUUUAACUCAAACUGAAACAUACACAGAGCAAAGCCUUUUUACAUAACUGCUCGGGCUGACAUUGUUCCAUGCUAAGAAGGUAACAGCUACAUUCAGGAAGAUAUGACUGUUUAAAUACGCGUUUUCAUGUAAUUGGAGUAGUUUGUAUCUGCCCACACUUCCCCGUUAAUGCGUACAGCCGCUUCAGCUCUGUUUGUGGCUUUUCAACAGAACAGAAACACGUGCCAGCAACAACCACCAAGUUCUUAAGAUUUAACUGCUGGGGUACGAUUCGGCUCCCUCCCAUUUAACACCCUCCAAGAGUCACCUACUCACCUCCAGAACCACAAUCCCUGAGAGCUCUGCUGCUGACACAGAGGAGGGCAGGAAGAGAAGUCAGACAGAAGAAAUAUGAAAUGGGCGGAGUGAAAGAUACGCUACCAGUGAAGUCAUAAUUCUGCAUAACAGGCACAACGGUGAAGCAUGGUUUACUCACUUGUUUCACCUCACCAAUGAUACUGCAGCACACAAAUGACUGGGAGGGGGAAAUAGGUCCAACUGUUCUCGAGACAGCGAGGAAAAAAAACACGAAGGUCUUCAGAAGUUGCUUUUUUCUCCAUUACAUACACAAUUACUUUAGAUCAGGCUGAGAGAUUUAAGUGGCAUCUUCUACUUCUCACACCUGGCUCAACAACAAAGAAGUAAAUCAGUGCACAACUUUGGGUCAAGUCUGUUUUUCAGCAGCACAACACCUAUACCUCCCACCUUAUCCUCCUGCCUUACCAGCAGCUUUUCCAAUCUGUUUUCAUUUGUCUAGAAUAUCCAGACUAGAACAUCAAGAGGAAACCUUUUCCGUUCAGAACCCAUUAUUUCCCAUGAGGUGUUUAACUGUGCUACAGAGGAGCCCAACACAGCCAUGCCCUACAUGGAUACAUGGCAGCACAGGAAGGCCAUCAUAAUCACAUCACAAGUGAUGUAAGAAAGAAUCUUACAGUUUUUCUACCCUCCAGAAUGCCCUCGUCCUUACAAACACAUUACCUGCUUCUGACACAGUGCCAUCCCACACUCUGCUGAGAUGCGCACACCAAGCUGCACCAAAUUGUUAAGGACAUGUUCAACACCACACAUGGAGAAAGGCACCAAGGCUGACAGAAGUGUCCUAAUGGCCGGGUCUGGCUGCUGAGCUGCCCAAAGGAUCACACAGACAGACUCAUCUUUCUGGAGCUGGCCUCGCUCCAUGG